rnacentral:piRNA from 1 species
UAGGAUGACACAAUGACUUCAAAGUACAU